UACGUAGGGGGCAAGCGUUGUCCGGAUUUACUGGGCGUAAAGAGCGCGUAGGCGGAAGCUUAAGUGUGGCCUGAAAGCCCCCGGCUCAACCGGGGAAGGUGGCUGCAAACUGGGCUUCUUGAGGUCGAUAGAGGAGAGCGGAAUUCCUGGUGUAGCGGUGAAAUGCGUAGAUAUCAGGAGGAACACCGGUGGCGAAGGCGGCUCUCUGGGUCGGACCUGACGCUGAGGCGCGAAAGCGUGGGGAGCGAACGGG
rnacentral:rRNA from 1 species